GAUGAACGCUGGCGGCGUGCCUAAUACAUGCAAGUCGAGCGAACAGACGAGGAGCUUGCUCCUCUGACGUUAGCGGCGAACGGGUGAGUAACACGUGGAUAACCUACCUAUAAGACUGGGAUAACUUCGGGAAACCGGAGCUAAUACCGGAUAAUAUAUUGAACCGCAUGGUUCAAUAGUGAAAGACGGUUUUGCUGUCACUUAUAGAUGGAUCCGCGCCGCAUUAGCUAGUUGGUAAGGUAACGGCUUACCAAGGCGACGAUGCGUAGCCGACCUGAGAGGGUGAUCGGCGACCCUGGACAUGAGAAACGGUCCAGACUCCUAAGGGAGGCAGCAGUAGGGAAUCUUCAGCAAUGGGCGAAAGCCUGACGGAGCAACGCCGCGUGAGUGAUGAAGGUCUUCGGAUCGUAAAUCUCUGUCAUUAGGGAAGAACAAAUGUGUAAGUAAUUAUGCACGUCUUGACGGUACCUAAUAAGAAAGCCACGGCUAACUACGUG
rnacentral:rRNA from 1 species